CCAUUGCUCAGUUGGUAGAGCGCAAGGCUCUUAACCUUGUGGACGUGGGUUCAAGCCCCAUGGUGGG
rnacentral:tRNA from 1 species